rnacentral:rRNA from 1 species
CUGGAUGGUAGUGUAUUGGACUACCAUGGCGUUUACGGGUAACGGAGGAUUAGGGUUCGAUUCCGGAGAGGGAGCCUGAGAAACGGCUACCACAUCUAAGGAAGGCAGCAGGCGCGUAAAUUACCCAAUCCUGACUCAGGGAGGUAGUGACAAGAAAUAACGGACCGGACCGUUCACACGGCCGGAACUGCAAUGAGCCGAAUUUACACCCCUUAGCGAGGACCCAUUGGAGGGCAAGUCUGGUGCCAGCAGCCGCGGUAAUUCCAGCUCCAAUAGCGUAUAUUAAAGUUGUUGCAGUUAAAAAGCUCGUAGUUGGAUUUCUGCAGGGGUGCCAAUGUCCGCUUGAUGCGUGCGCAGCGGCGCCCUCGCAUCCUUCUGUUAACGCCUCUCGGCAUUCAUUUGCCGGUGGUGGGCUCCGAUAAUUUACCUUGAGAAAAUUAGAGUGUUUCAGGCAGGCUAGGCCGGAAUACAUUAGCAUGGAAUAAUGGAAUAGGACUGAGGUCUCGUUGUUGGUUUGAGGGACUGCAGUAAUGAUUAAUAGGGACAGUUGGGGGCAUUAGUAUUUAAUUGUCAGAGGUGAAAUUCUCAGAUUUGUUAAAGACUAACUUAUGCGAAAGCAUUUGCCAAGGAUGUUUUCAUUAAUCAAGAACGAAAGUUAGGGGAUCAAAGACGAUCAGAUACCGUC